rnacentral:rRNA from 1 species
CCUACGGGUGGCAGCAGUGGGGGAUAUUGCACAAUGGAGGGAACCCUGAUGCAGCGACGCCGCGUGGGUGAAGAAGCGUUUCGGCUCGUAAAGCCCUAUCGGCAGGGAAGAAGGAGGACGGUAGCUGACUAAGAAGCCCCGGCUAACUACGUGCCAGCAGCCGCGGUAAUACGUAGGGGGCAAGCGUUAUCCGGAUUUACUGGGUGUAAAGGGUGCGCAGACGGCAGCGCAAGCCAGGAGUGAAAGCCCUGGGCCCAACCCCGGGACUGCUCUUGGAACUGCGCGGCUGGAGUGCAGGAGGGGAAGGUGGAAUUCCGGGUGUAGCGGUGAAAUGCGUAGAUAUCAGGAGGAACACCGGUGGCGAAGGCGGCCCGCUGGACUGCGACAGACGUUGAGGCCCGAAAGCGUGGGGAGCAAACAGGAUUAGAUACCCUUGUAGUC